rnacentral:misc_RNA from 1 species
GAUGAGACUCACUCAGCAGAGGGAAUUUAAUGACAGAACCAAUUCUUGAAGUAUAGAGGUUGUGAUCUUGCCUUUCUUUCCAUUACAAAUAUUUUUCCUCAUGUCUAUUUCAGCUAAGGCUUUUAUAUUAGUGGACUGCUAAACUCGUGUAGAAUAGUAACAAGACCAUACUAAUCGAUAAAUCAUAUAGUAUGAUAAUGUAGUGGCG